AGUGAACGCUGGCGGUAGGCCUAACACAUGCAAGCCGAACGGCAGCACAGUAAGAGCUUGCUCUUACGGGUGGCGAGUGGCGGACGGGUGAGGAAUACAUCGGAAUCUACUUUUUCGUGGGGGAUAACGUAGGGAAACUUACGCUAAUACCGCAUACGACCUACGGGUGAAAGCAGGGGAUCUUCGGACCUUGCGCGAUUGAAUGAGCCGAUGUCGGAUUAGCUAGUUGGCGGGGUAAAGGCCCACCAAGGCGACGAUCCGUAGCUGGUCUGAGAGGAUGAUCAGCCACACUGGAACUGAGACACGGUCCAGACUCCUACGGGAGGCAGCAGUGGGGAAUAUUGGACAAUGGGCGCAAGCCUGAUCCAGCCAUACCGCGUGGGUGAAGAAGGCCUUCGGGUUGUAAAGCCCCUUUGUUGGGAAAGAAAAGCAGCAGGUUAAUACCCCGCUGUUCUGACGGUACCCAAAGAAUAAGCACCGGCUAACUUCGUG
rnacentral:rRNA from 1 species